GCGUCUUCGCCCUCGCAUCACUUAAAUACAACAUAUGUGUUAUUUUCUGGUCGGGUAACCAGUAGCAUUUACUGACAUCACGUCAUAUUUAGACGUCUACCGUGGUGUGGUCAGCGUGUGCUUCCAAUAUUUCCCGCAGCACGCGAAGGCAGCGUUCGCUGCUGGGCUGAAAGCUGCGCGCUACAGACUCCUGCUGGCCGAGCGGGGACGCGCGUCCCCCCCAGCUGGUUGACCCCACGCGGUAAACCACGCUCCUACCUGCUGACAAGCCGUCUCCAUUCCUCUGCAGUAAUAACGUGCAGUGAUCGGAACUGAAGCUGCACAUAUUCCCUUGUGCUCCGCGACGUUAUCCGGGGCCCAGUCCUCCUCCAGCACUCCUCCAUUUACAGAGGACAUGUCCCCGGUCGGAGACUUCUGAUGCAUAUCAAUGGAGGCCACACAGAGAUAAUAAAACCACACACUUGUCUCCGUAUCUUUGUCCCCUCUUGUGAAAAGAAGCCUUUCAUCUCCAAUGUCCUGAUUCUCCCGUAUUGAGGAAUGGGGCGAGAUAAGCAACACACACACACACACACACACACACACACACACACACUCACACACACACACACACACACACACACACACACACACACACACACACACACACACACAUAUACACACACACACACACAUGCAGUUCCAAGGCAAGACAGCAACACUGGAGUCUUAUCUGCUGCUUUUACAAUACAGUAGCAUCAAUGUUAUGAUAUUUUUUAUAAAUUCUUGUCAGUAAACAUUGUUAUCAGAUAUUAUAAAACAAUUUCUCUAAUGUUUCAGCAUAAAUAUAUCAUAGAUAAACUGAAAAACAUACCGUCAUAUAUCUUAAUAAAGAAAAUAUUAAGUAAUAUUUAAGUAAAUUAAGCUUCAUGUCAUAAAACGAGUUACAAUGUAUUCUGGAUUGUACAAAACUCUGGAUUCUUUUGGAUUUCUGAGAAAGAGAAAGGGGGAGGGAGACACACGGAUGCUCAGCAACAACAGUAACACGCAAAUAAACAUUAGACUAAUGACAAACAUUAGUAUUAGUGUUGGUGAAUUUGAUGAAAUGAUGGUCAAGAUAAUAGCAUAACUGAUAGCAGUAUGACCAUGCCUGCUACUGCUAAUAAAAAGAGUACAGCAGCACUGAGUUCAAAAACAUAUGAAUAGCAGUAAUGAUAAUACAAAAUAAAAUAAUAAUGACAGUAGCCGCAGGUGCUACGAGAGGAAAGUGUCACAUGCGUGUGAGAGGGUGGAAACAGAAUGUCAGAAAACCAAAGUAACAAGAAGCGGUAGACGCUGUGUUUGACUGGCCGAUUAGCUCCAGAGAAGGAAUUACGCCAGCACACAAACAACUCGGACACAUGCUAUUAAUACAACAUGUUGGGGACUAUUCAGAGCAUAACAAAAGCACCACUGAAAUAAACAUCUAAAUACAAAACACUGUAUGUAAUUUAUUUGGAAUUUGAUGAUACCAUCACAGCCAGGAUCCCGUAGGGACCCCUCAGUCUGUGCGACCGGCAGUUCGGUUGCGUACGUUUCCCAGCACAGGCCUGUAUUCACAGCACGCUGACAAAGAAGUGAGUUUGAAAUGUGGAAAAGCUGAGUGUGAAUGGGCCUGCCUGUCCCCGUGAAAAACACUGGGCCAUUCAUCCCCCCCCCAAGUUCAUCCACUCUGAGAAGUAACUUGUCUGUAAAGAGGAGGGAGGAGCUGGGCCGGCUGGGACGGGGGCGAGGGGGCGGAUGGGAGGCUGGGGGGAGGUGUGGGUCGGAGUGAAGCGGACGUUCAUUCUCACGUACCCAAACGGGGACAGACUCUCCAGUCUCAUGGUCUUCGACACAUAACUGAUGGGAAUAAAAACUCACCCUCCAAAACAUAUUUAACUUUUUCUUCCAUGCAUGAAGAUUAAUGCAUUUAGGAAAAGUUCUGUAGAAGGUGCAAUAAUAUUAACAAGACUUUAUUUUAGAAACGUGGAUAUGCAGCCAAUUUCAGUAGUAGUAGACCCCACUGAGACAGGCCCAAUGCACGCUAUUGAGACAGGCCUUACUGCACAAUAUUGUGUGCACGUUAUCAGGGUUGUCUGAGAUGAGAUGCUCCUCCCUGGAAAGUGGAUUCUUUAAGUAUUAAACAAUAAACAUGAAGUUAAAACAUUUUCUUACACUGUGAGAUUCAGUUAUUUACUGUGUUUGUGAGCAGUAAGCUACUGCAAAACCAUCUCACGGUAAUUUAUUGUGUAUUAAUUUGACAGUUAAUUACUGUGAUUCUUUUCACAGUAGUAUACUGUGAUUCAUUUUGCAGUUAGUUACUUUUCACCAGCUGCCAGUUAAUAACUGUGAAUUUAACUGUACGUUUGUUACAGCAUAUCUUAGCAUUUUUGGGCCUCUGCUCAGGAAAUUGAAUAGCCAAGAUAAAAAGUACUCAGGAACUACUUUGUCUAUCUGGACAAUUUAUUUUCUGUAGGAUAACGAGGAACCUCUGUGAUUGCUCUGAUGUGUAAAAUAAGUUUAUACGUUACUCGUGACAUUAUUGACCACGUGUUUGUGUUGUCAAAGAAAGUUGGGAUAAAGUCGGACACAAAUGUAACUCCUAACCUGUAUAAAGGCAAGUUCUUUCAUAAUGGAUCGUUGGUAAUGUGAUUCUGAUCCCCAAAACGUGACAUGCAAGAUAUCAAGAUUCAGCAAAUCUGGUGGUGCACACCAAAGCCGGGAGACACGCAAUAGUCCCGCAGUAACGAUCUCUAAACCCGGGCAGUUAACGUGAGCUGGUUGUUGUGUACUUGUGUCCUCAUGACGAAAUGAGACACAGGGGUUGAAUCUGAUAGAAGCUCUUUAGAAUAAGCUGCACUGGAAGCGAAGUAACAGAGGGAGAUGUGCAGUGACAUAAUAAGCUGUUGGGAAAAGUAUUUAAAAUAGAUGCUGUGUAUUUAUGAAAAAAGCAAAAUGAUAACAUAGCUAUACAUAUGAUAACUGUUCAGGCCCAGCACUGCUUAAAAGGACACCUUCAGUUUUUUCCCCAUGUGUGUUCAGUGAGAUAUUUCCAGAUAUCAGUGUUCAUAAGGCCUCUAUCCUUUUAUCAGACACUAUCCGCGAUGUCCAGCAGAUGGCAAACCUGGACCUCAGUAACCAUCACUGAGUACCACCCGAGGUCAUUUUUAAGAACCUGUAGCACCACAUCGAAAUCAAAUGUAUUUCAACAAGUUUUUGCAUUGAAGCUGGACUUGAAAUGUAUUGCGCUUCAUACUUAAAUGAUUCAUAUAAAAAGUGAUGCUACUUUUGCCAUUCAUGUGCAUUGGCUUUCAGAUUCAGGGGACGAUAGCGCUUUUAUAUGUCUGCUCUCCCAUUGUUACAAGCCACAACUGUAUAUUAUGAAUGAAAAACCAUUGCAGAUAUCAAUAAUGUGUAUUGAUAUCCGCAGUAUAUUGUGAAUAUGAA
ensembl:lncRNA